AUGCGCUCAUGUAUCCUUUGGAUGGAAAAGAGAAAGUGUCGCAAGAGUAAAAAAUCUGCAUGUGCUGCUCCAAGUAAAAUGAAGAGCAUGGUUGUUCAAGAAGAUUUGCUGAAAAAUGGUGCCUUCGUGGUUGCUUACAACAAAGUAGAAUUGUUCCAGAUGUAUUUUGCAUGCUCUAAGAAUUUGAUCGACAUCUUAUAUAUGCCCACUCUACCGUUUUCUUUAUCAAGCAUGUAA
rnacentral:rRNA from 1 species